UAUUGUUCUAGUUCAUAACACUCAUCUAGAGUUUGAUAUGGUUUGUGUCUCUGUGUAUGCGUUUGAGUUUUGUUCUGCCUGCCUGGGACUGCAAAUAACAGCUGGAUUGCCAUACAUCUGGCAGAAGACACAAUAUACAUAGCAAGUGGGCUGCAACUGGCUUGAUACAUUUGAAGUUGUACACGGGUGAAUUCAGGGCUUCCUGAGCCAGACGAACAAAUUUUUCAUCCUCCUCCCAAGUCUUAAGGUAAAUCUGAUAUAACAGUUAAGGACCUUCAGAUGAGUCUGUUUGGCAGGGACAAGCAUCCUGACAUCCUGAUUUUGAAAUAAUAUGUCCCAUUCGGCUUUAUUCAUGAAACUCCUUAUGGAGUCAAUGGAGUAUUAUUGCAUAAGAUUCCAAUGCCUCUAUAUGCGGAAUCACACAAGCAACAGCAAUCACAUGCAUAUUUAUGCAUGUUAAGCUGUGGCAUGAGCCUGGCAACAUUAUCAUCUGUUAUUAUGGCAAUAGUGCACAUGGAAAAUGAACAAAGCCAAGUAUUAACAACUGAAUGCAGAGAAACUUCACAAAAGGAAAAGCAGAAUUUUCUAAAAUGGGAUUUAAUCUUUGUUUGCAAGUUCCCACAGUGCAAGCUGAAUUUUUUUUUAUCUUGAAAAUUAACCACCUUAAAAAGAAACACUAAAUGGCCACAUACAUUUCUGUUCUCCAGAGUUAAAGAUGGUUACUAAGAUUUUCUUCUUGCAAAAUGAAGCUUACAAGAAAUGGUGCCUGCAAUUUCAACAAUUUCCACAGUGCCUCCAAAAUCCUUCCACUUCUCUAACCUUCACAAUGCCCUGGAAAUAAGGCCCAAUUUAAACUGCAAUUUUCUCAUUACAAGGAUUUCAUUUUCUGAAGCUGUUGUUGAAAAUGUCCUCAUUGGCCAAACCCAUUUGUGAGAUUUCAGUAGAGCCUCUGCAGUGCGUUAAAAGUGUUGUAGCAGAAGUAGUGGCUCAAGAAAUCCGGAUCUCAAGGUCUUUGCUGGACUUUAAUCGCAUGAAAAGCCAAUUAAAUAACCAUUCAAGGAGGGGGGAGACUAUGCAAGUGGAAAGAACAGGUUCUUAAUAUUUAUUUUUUAUUUUCUUUUAGAAAAUGACAUUAAUACAAAUGUGUCUAUCUGUGAGCUUUAUUUUAUCGACAUGGGUGACAUCAACUGCUGAUUCUUUCCUCUAUGCCAUCACUGUACAUCAUACAUCUGUUGACACUGGCUCUUGCUUGUGGAAGCUCACAAUAAAUGUCCUAGUCUUAACGUGCCACAAUUCAUUUUAUUGUUGCUUUUGCCCCAGCAGGCAAACAUGGCUACUCUUCUAGAAUUUACCAAUGAAAAUAUCAGCCAGUGAAAAUAUACCACAUGCUGUAAUGUGGAAGCACAGAUUAGGAAUAGGAGCUGAUUGCAAAACCAAGAAUGAAGUGGGUGGUGGUAGGAGAAGAACUAAAAGAAGAACAUAGAACAGAGGAAGGUUUCAUCUUUUUUUGUGUCAGUAUAGAAGUAGGGAAAGCAAACAGGCAUCUGUCCCUUUCUGCCAUUUCACAAGUCAUUAAAGGAACUAGCAUCAAAAUAAGUUAGUUCCACAAAUUGUUGAUAAUUAUGCUUUUUAUUAUUCCUCUGACCAAAAAGAUGUAGAAGAAGCUAGAUUAGCUGAACUGCACCCAAUCUAUUGUAUGCAAUCCACCAUUUGUUUCUUCUCUCUUCAAUAUUAAAGCAUGAAGAUCAAGAUAGAUAUCUCCAAUUUCCGCACCAACGCCACCUUGUAUUUUUCUACAAUUUUACUACUGUUGAAGACUAUUUGACAUGUGAAAUCAUAGCAAGAUGGAUAAUGUCACACCAGUUUCAUGCUGAAAUCCACAAAUAAUUCCACUGACACCUGCCUUUUGCAGCAAACAAAUCAGUAAGGAGGCUGACCAACCGUCAACGCUUUUGGUUUCUUUUCUGAUAGACAUUCCAAUCCAGGAUCACUCUCCUUCAAGCUUGACUCCGCAUAUGACCUCGCGACAAAGUUUGAGCAGAAAUAAAAGUUCCUUCUUUUAUCACACGUGUAGUGAAACAUGAUGUGAAAUUAUAUCCUUGCAAUGAAUGGUUCCCAACCAUUACCAGUUAUGAAAGGUGAGGUCAGAAAAAUGAAGAGCAUUGUUCCUUCUAAUUCAGUCUCUGAGGACCAUUUGUAAAAUAGUACAGAGGAGGUCCUCUCUCAACACCAAAAAGCUGUGGCCAAGGGGAUGGAGACUGCCUCUGAUCUUAGGGUCAUCUUACACCAACCUUCAGUUGAGGAGAUGACAGACACAUGCAUCCAAGCAUUUUUUUUCAAAAAAAGCAAAAACAAAUUUUGGUUCUAAAUUCUGAAGAGAACACCGAGAGGAAAAUGGAUCGGAACAAAUUAAAUGCCCGAAAAUUCAAUUUCCUUGGGAAACAAAACAGAGCAUUUCUCAUUAGAGCAGUGUCAGCAAAAGCCACCUCAGUAAAAAUUUUAAUUAGAAAUGGUUGGGGCUGCUCUCAGAGGGUACAUAUGGCAGUUCAUAUGCUCCGAAUGUUUGUCUAAAAUUUAGUUUAGCUAGGCUUCAAAACUCUUAUUAAUUUCUGCACAAGGACAUGCAUGAUAUAGAAAAGAAAUUGCAGAACCAUGAUUAUUACCUCAAUUCUGAAAGCAGGUAAAGGUCAAAAUCAUGCAGAAGGAAAAAGCCUUUUUUGAUGUUAUUCUGGAAAUCAAUAAUGCCAGUUUCUGAAGGAAUAAUAUGCCCAACAUAGUUCAUGAUUCAUAGUCUUAGGUCUGGGUCAGACACUUCUUGCCCUCAUCUGUUACACUGUACGCUAUAAAGUGUGGAAGGCUUUUGGUGGUCUUGCAACCUAGCACCUCAGUAUGUGAAAUAAAUGGCUUCUUUCGCCAAUCAUAUGGGUUGAGUGAAAAUAAAAUGCCCC